rnacentral:rRNA from 1 species
UGGGUCCAACCUUCCCCACCCGUGUUUAUUUACCUUGUUGCUUCGGCGAGCCUGCCUUUUGGCUGCCGGGGGACGUCAGUCCCCGGGUCCGUGCUCGCCGGAGACACCUUAGAACUCUGUCUGAAGAUUGUAGUCUGAGAUUAAAUAUAAAUUAUUUAAAACUUUCAACAACGGAUCUCUUGGUUCCGGCAUCGAUGAAGAACGCAGCGAAAUGCGAUACGUAAUGUGAAUUGCAGAAUUCAGUGAAUCAUCGAGUCUUUGAACGCACAUUGCGCCCUCUGGUAUUCCGGAGGGCAUGCCUGUCCGAGCGUCAUUGCUGCCCUCAAGCACGGCUUGUGUGUUGGGCCCCGUCCUCCUUCCGGGGGACGGGUCCGAAAGGCAGCGGCGGCACCGCGUCCGGUCCUCAAGCGUAUGGGGCUUUGUCACUCGCUUUGUAGGCCUGGCCGGCGCUUGCCGAUCAACCAAACUUUUUAUCAGGUUGACCUCGGAUCAGGUAGGGAUACCCGCUGAACUUAAGCAUAUCA